rnacentral:rRNA from 1 species
UACGUAGGGGGCAAGCGUUAUCCGGAAUUAUUGGGCGUAAAGGGUGCGUAGGCGGCAAAGUAAGUCUUUGGUAAAAGUGCUAGGCUCAACCUAGUGAGGCCAAGGAAACUACAAGCUAGAGUACGGAAGAGGUAAGUGGAAUUCCAUGUGUAGCGGUAAAAUGCGUAAAUAUAUGGAGGAACACCAGUGGCGAAGGCGGCUUACUGGACCGAUACUGACGCUGAGGCACGAAAGCGUGGGGAGCAAACAGG